CUGGGCUCACUGCCGAGCUGGGAUCCUUACCCAUCGAGCAGCAUCUCCUCAAGAGCAUCUGUGGUGACUGUGCCCAGGGCCAGGCAGCCCAUUCAGCCUCCCUUCUGGUGAAAGGAGAAAAGGGGGACCAGGGUGUCCCUGGUGUGCCGGGUUUCAACGACUGUGCCAGGUGCUUCAUAGAGAGGGAGCGCCCGAGAGCUGAGGAGGCCAGGGGAGACAACAGUGAGGGAGAACCUGGCUGUCCUGGGAGCCCUGGCCUGCCUGGUCCUCCAGGGAUGCCUGGCCAAAGAGGAGAAGAGGGUCCACCUGGCAUGAGGGGCUCUCCUGGUCUUCCAGGCCCUGUUGGCCCCCCAGGUUUUCCUGGUGCUGUUGGCUCCCCCGGAUUGCCU
rnacentral:lncRNA from 1 species